rnacentral:rRNA from 1 species
ACUGCUGGGUAGGGGAGCGUUCUGUAAGCGGAUGAAGGUUAAUCGAGAGGUUAGCUGGACGUAUCAGAAGUGCGAAUGCUGACAUAAGUAACGAUAAAACGGGUGAAAAACCCGUUCGCCGGAAGACCAAGGGUUCCUGUCCAACGUUAAUCGGGGCAGGGUGAGUCGGCCCCUAAGGCGAGGCUGAAAAGCGUAGUCGAUGGGAAACGGGUUAAUAUUCCCGUACUUGGAUAAACUGCGAUGUGGGGACGGAGCAGGUUAGGUUAUCGCACUGUUGGAUAUGUGCGUUUAAGUUGGUAGGUGAGAAGUUUAGGCAAAUCCGGACUUCUUUAACACCGAGAGAUGAUGACGAGGCUCUACGGAGCUGAAGUAACCGAUACCACACUUCCAGGAAAAGCCACUAAGCUUCAGGUUUAUCUAAACCGUACUGAAAACCGACACAGGUGGUCAGGUAGAGAAUACUCAGGCGCUUGAGAGAAUCGGGUGAAGGAACUAGGCAAAAUAGCACCGUAACUUCGGGAGAAGGUGCGCCGGCGUAGAUUGUAGUCCCUAGCGGGCGAAGGUUGAACCGGUCGAAGAUACCAGCUGGCUGCAACUGUUUAUUAAAAACACAGCACUCUGCAAACACGAAAGUGGACGUAUAGGGUGUGAUGCCUGCCCGGUGCUGGAAGGUUAAUUGAUGGUGUAAUCGAAAGAGAAGCUCCUGAUCGAAGCCCCAGUAAACGGCGGCCGUAACUAUAACGGUCCUAAGGUAGCGAAAUUCCUUGUCGGGUAAGUUCCGACCUGCACGAAUGGCAUAAUGAUGGCCAGGCUGUCUCCACCCGAGACUCAGUGAAAUUGAAAUCGCCGUGAAGAUGCGGUGUACCCGCGGCUAGACGGAAAGACCCCGUGAACCUUUACUAUAGCUUGACACUGAACAUUGAAUUUUGAUGUGUAGGAUAGGUGGGAGACUUAGAAGUAGUCACGCCAGUGAUUAUGGAGUCGUCCUUGAAAUACCACCCUUUAACGUUUGAUGUUCUAACGAAGAUUACGAAACGUGGUCUCGGACAGUGUCUGGUGGGUAGUUUGACUGGGGCGGUCUCCUCCCAAAGAGUAACGGAGGAGCACGAAGGUUUGCUAAUGACGGUCGGACAUCGUCAGGUUAGUGCAAUGGUAUAAGCAAGCUUAACUGCGAGACAGACAAGUCGAGCAGGUACGAAAGUAGGUCAUAGUGAUCCGGUGGUUCUGAAUGGAAGGGCCAUCG